UACGGGGGGAGCAAGCGUUGUUCGGAUUUACUGGGCGUAAAGGGCGCGUAGGCGGCCAUCGCAAGUCAAUUGUGAAAUCUCCGGGCUUAACUCGGAAAGGUCAACUGAUACUGCGAGGCUAGAGUGCGGAAGGGGCAACUGGAAUUCUCGGUGUAGCGGUGAAAUGCGUAGAUAUCGAGAGGAACACCUGCGGCGAAGGCGGGUUGCUGGGCCGGUACUGACACUGAGGAGCGAAAGCGUGGGGAUCAAACAGG
rnacentral:rRNA from 1 species